rnacentral:rRNA from 1 species
AAGGAUCAUUACUGAGUGAGGGUCUUCGUGGCCCAACCUCCAACCCUAUGUCUAUCGUUACCACGUUGCUUCGGCGGGCCCGCCUCCUCGGGGGCCGCUGGGGGUACCUUAACCGGCCCCUGGCCCGCGCCCGUCCGUCGCCUACACCAAACUCGUGAUGAAUUGUGUCGUCUGAGUACAAAUUUUAAUAAAUUAAAACUUUCAACAACGGAUCUCUUGGUUCUGGCAUCGAUGAAGAACGCAGCGAAAUGCGAUAAGUAAUGCGAAUUGCAGAGUCCAGUGAGUCAUCGAAUCUUUGAACGCACAUUGCGCCCUUUGGUAUUCCGAAGGGCAUGCCUGUUCGAGCGUCAUUAUCACCCCUCAAGCCCCGGGCUUGCUGUUGGACCCAGGUCCGUCGAAAGACGCGACCGGUCCCAAAGACAAUGACGGCGUCCAGAGGACCCUCGGUGCAACGAGCUUCACCAUGAGCACGCACCCGAGUUGCAAGGUCUUCUGGCGCGGUCCCCCCACCUUUUAUUUUUACAAGGUUGACCUCGGAUCAGGUAGGAAUACCCGCUGAACUUAAG